UCUCUCUUGACUCUUUUUUUCCCUCUCUAAAUUUUUCUUAACUUCACAUACAACACUACAAUUAAUCUUUCACCAUCUCUCGACUCCUCCUCUCUCCUCCUCUCUUUCACAAUUUGUUUAGACAUUAACACACAACACACUGUUCUCCCCCAAUCUCUUUCUCUUUCUCUCAGUUCUCUCUUUUCUCUUAAACAAAAAAAAGAAGGAAGCAAAGGGACGAUUGAGGCCUGGGAGUUUACAUCAAAAAUUUUGAACCAAAAGACUGCUACUUUUGCUAAGAAAUGCCAUCUACGCAAAAGAUAGAGCCCAGGAUGGUAUUUUGGUGAAUUUUGACGACCGACAGUGGACAGUGACCCAGGCGAGUUGCCGAAGCAGCCAUGGACGCCAGUAGAGAAGUUUGAAGUUGGCCAAAAAGGGAGAAAACUAAAGAGAGGAAGAGGAAGAAGAAAAACAAAUAAAAGGAAAAGGAAAAGAUAGAAAUAAAUGAUUGGCUUCUGUUAUUAUUUUGUUUUUGGUUUUGGCUGGGGUUUAUAGUUGAGUUUUGGGGUUUAAUUUAGACAUGUUUGUUCUUUGGGAUUCCUUGAAUUUUCAAUUGGACUUAUUUAUUUUUAUGUGAAAAUGGUUUACAUUUUUCUUCUAAGCCAAGGUGGUAUAGUCCAAGCAACAGAAACAGCCCAAAUCGAAUUUAAUUGCCUCUUCUCUAAUUUGAUUUGAAAUUGGCCCAUAGACUUUUGAGUAAUUUCAUUGUGACUCAAAAAAAUUUGGAUUUUUUUUAUUUAAGUCAUUAUUUUAAUUGCAUUUUGGCUCCUAAAUUUUGUCUUUAUUUAAUUUUUGGCCCCUAAUUUUUCAAAAAUUAUGUUUUGACCUAAAACUUUCUAAAUUUUGUAAUUUAGUCCCUAAUGGCUUUUGAUUUCUCAAUUAUAAUUGUUUUCCUUUUUUAAUUGCUAAUUAUGCUUCAAUUAAAUGCAUUUAAUUUGUAAAUUUUAGGUGUUUUAAGUUUAUUUACAUUUUUUGGCAUAAUAAGGUGAAUUUAGUAUAUGUUUAUGUUUUCUUUUAAAAUAUUUUCAAUUAAAUUGGUGCCUUGAUCUUUUUGUUGAUUCAUGAGUAUAAAUGGGUCAAUAUCCCCUCAUUUAGUCACUAUUUCAAAAGGGAGAUACCUCUAUUACCCUUUAAAUUUUGUUUAUUUACUCUUAUGUGCUCCUAUAUGCUCCUAUGCGUUUAUAUGUUUAUGUGUUUUCUUUUGUUUAUUUAUUUUAAGUUUCUAUUCAUUUUUUAUGCUCAUUUAAUUUAAGUUUUGUAAUAAUUUGGAGGAUAUUUAAAUACCCAAGAUGUAAUAGAUAUGUUAUAUUUUUUCUUUCGGAAAACUUGUAAUUAGAUAGAUAAAUAUAAUAGAUAGGUUAGAAAGGGGCUAUUUUCAUGUAUUUUCCCACUCUAAAUUGUAGUUAAGUCCCCAAAUGUAAUAGAUAAGUUAAAUAUGUUUAUUUUCUUCUGUUCUCUCGUUUAGAUUGUAUUUACGUUCCCUAAUGUAAAAGAUAGGGUUGUGGUGUGUUUAUAUGGCU